GCGUAAGCGCGCGCAGGCGGUCCUUUAAGUCUGAUGUGAAAGCCCACCGCUCAACCGGGGAGGGGCAUUGGAAACUGGGGGACUUGAGUGCAGAAGAGGAAGGUGGAAUUCCCAGUGUAGCGGUGAAAUGCGUAGAGAUUUGGAGGAACACCAGUGGCGAAGGCGACUUUCUGGUCUGUUACUGACGCUGAGGCGCGAAAGCGUGGGGAGCAAACAGGAUUAGAUACCCUGGUAGUCCACGCCGUAAACGAUGACUGCUAAGUGUUAGGGGGUUUCCGCCCCUUAUGGCUGCACCUAACGCAUUAAGCGCUCCGCCGGGGGAGUACGGUCGCAGGACUGAAACUCAAUGGAUUUGACGGGGGCCCGCACAAGCGGGGAAGCAUGUGGUUUAUUUCAAACCACCGCGAAAAACCUUACCAGGUCUUGACUUCCCGGUGACCUCUGUAGAUAUA
rnacentral:rRNA from 1 species